rnacentral:lncRNA from 1 species
UUCUGGUGAGAACACUCUUCAGAGAGGUUUCUUCUCUCUGUGUCCUCAAAUGGUGGACAGAGAGAGAUAGAGAGAGAAAGAGAGAGAAUAAUCUCUCUAGUCUCAUAUUAUAGGUCCCAUCGUGCGGACAUCACCCUCAUGAUGUCAUCUAAACCUGAAUAUCUCUUAAAGGCUGCACCUCCAAACACCAUCACCUUCGGCAUUAGCACUUCAACAUAUCAGUUUUGAAUACAAACAUUCAAUUCAUGACAAUAACAUUCUCUAGUUGCAAAGCAAUAAAACUAAAAUUUAAUAACAGAACAUUAUAACAAUUAAUUAUCAUGAGGAAAUUUAAACAUUCUUCUUUAAACAAUACUUGGGAGUUCCCAUCGUGGCUCAGCGGAAACAAAUCUGACUAGGAACCAUGAGGUUGAGAGUUCGAUCCCUGGCCUUGCUCAAUGGGUUAAGGAUCCAGCAUUGCCAUGAGCUGUGGUGUAGCUCGCAGAUGCGGCUCAGAUCUGUCAUUGCUGUGGCUCUGGCAAAGGCCAGUGGCAACAGCUCCGAUUAGACCCCUAGCCUGGGAACUUCCAUAUGCCAUGGGUACGGUCCUAGAAAAGACAAAAAAAAAAGACAAAAAUAAAAAAAUAAAAAUAAAAAACAGUACUUGAGUGAAAGUCUAGUCAAGCUGGGUGUGUAAAAUUUUUACAAAAUAUCAAUAAUGAAUAUAUUGCCUGUAAGAACAAUACAGCCAAAAACCACACUCAAAAGAAAAUGUAAAGAUAUUGGAUGAACCAAUUAAAAAUAAAAGUAAUACAAAUCUGAAUCAACCAUUCAAGAAAAAAAAUGAUAAAUGAGAAAAUAAAAGAAGACAAAAGAAAUAGUUAAAAGCAGAUAUAAAUAAGUUAGAAAACAGAAAAUUAGUAGAAUAAAAAUGUUAAUUUUUGAAAAAAAAAUACACCCUCAGCUAAACUAGUUAAAGAAUAAACAGAUGGUGCUGGGGGGAAGGGGUGGGAGAGGAGUCGGAAACAUGCCAAUCAACCACGUAAAAAUUUUUGUGUAGAAAUAACCAUCAGAUCUGAAGACAUUUAAGAAACAAUCUUGAGCCAACUUUUUAAAAAAACCUUUACAAUUACAUAAAUACCGUAUUAAAAUGGGAUACAGUCUCAGAAGUUAUAAACAGAGUAAUUUCCGUAGAAGAUUUCCAUAGAAGGUAGAGAAGCUAGCUUCUUAAACAUCCUAGGGCAGAAUGAUUUCAUUUUGAAUUCUACCAAAACUUUUAAGAGCAAAUGAUGCCAGUGCCAUUUAAACUGGUCCAGAAAAUAGGAAAAGAAGUAAAGCUUCCAAACUUUUUAAAAUCAUAUUAAUAGAUCUAAGAAAAAAAUCAUGAGUAUUUCUGUAUAUGCUGAAAAAAUUUUUGAAAAAUUUGAGGAAAACAUUUUUUUUUUUGGCUUCAAAACACAUGAUUUAACAUGUUAAUGUCUGUAUCAGCCUUAAAAGCCAGGUUUAUACUUAAAAGAAAACAUUACACCUAUACAGACUGAAGUCAAGACUAAGACAAACUACCAGUAUCAGCACUAAUACUCAGCCUUGUUUUGGAGGUACUAACCUUCAGGCUGUUUGAAAUAUUACCAUGAUAAUAAAGCUAUAGGAGUAGAAUUAAUAAAUGAGAAUACACAGUUUAUAAAUCAAUAGUUAAUAUUUAUGCAAAGAAAACAGAAACACUAAUUCAAAAAAAUACAUGCAUCCCAAAAUUCAUUGCAGUAUUAUUUACAAUGGCCAGUAUAUAGAAGCAACAUAAGUGUUCUUUGACAGGUGAAUGGAUAAAGAAGAUUUGGUACACACACACACACACACNNNNNNNAGAAAAUCAUGGACUUGGAGAAGAGACUUGUGGUUGCCUGAUGGGAGGGGGAGGGAGUGGGAAAUAAAUCAGACAAAGAUAUAUUUCACUGUUAUGUGGAAUAUAAAAAACAAAAAAGCAAACUCAUAGAUACAGAGAACAAAUUAGGGGAGGAGGAAGGGAGAUGGGUGAAAUAGUAGAAGAGGAUUAAGAGACACAAACUUCCAGUUAUAAAAUAAGUAAGUCAUGGGAUGCAAUGUACACCAUAAAGAAUAUAGUCAAUAAUAUUGUAUUAAUUUAUGUGUAUGCUGACAGAUGGUAACUAGACUCAUAAUGGUGAUCAUUUCAUAAUCUAUAAAAAUAUUGAAUCACUAUGUUGUACAUCUGAAACUAAUAUUGUAAGCCACCAAAACUUCAAUUUAAAAAAAAAUCAGUAGUUUAUAUACACAAUUGGCAUUUGCUAAAUGCUAUAAUGCAAAAUAGAUCCUAUUUAUAAUAGCAAUAAAAGAUAAAAUCCUUAUAAAUAAGUUGAAAAAAGUAUUUAAGACCUAUACAAGAGCACAAGAGACUUGAAAAUCAGGAGACACACUGUGUUCUAGUUUUGCAGAUGCAACAUGGUAAAAAAUAUGUAAGAUCUCUGUAAAUUUAUUUGUGAAAUUAAUGUGAUUCCAGUAAAAUAUACCAAGGUUUUUUUAAAAAAUGGUGGGUUUUUUUUUUUUGGUUUUUUUAUUAGCCAGUACAUUUAUUAAAAGUUUUAGAAGUUCAGGGAAUCAAUAGGAAGAAAGGAGAAAGAAAGAGAAACACUGAGAAGUAGAGAUUAGCUUUACCAGAUAUUAAAAUAUAAUACAAAAUAUUAAUAGUUGAAACACUGUGGUAAUGAUGCCUGGAUAGACAAACCAUUGAAACAGACAGUCUAGAAAUAUACACUGAUGACUUGAGGUCAAUUUUGUAUAAACUACAAAGAACAUUUAAAAUUAUUGUGGAAAAGGAAGGAAAGAUAAACUUAUAAAAAAUGGGUGAUGACUAGAUUUAUAACCCAUAUUUACACUUGGAUGAAUUCCCAAUGAAUCAAAUGUUUAAAAGAAAAAAAUUGAGGCAAUAAAGUCAGUAAAGAAAACAAGCAACAACUAAUUGUAAAUCUAGUGGAAAAAACCUUCACAUUAUGACUAAGGAUUCACAAACACCAAGGAAAGAUUGAUAGAUUUUACUAUUUAAAUAUUGAUAUUUAAAAAAAACCUUCUAGAUGGAAAACAGCAGCAAGAAAAUAACCCAAUCUAUCAGUAUCGUAAAUAACAAUAACAAAGAUAAACUAGUAAAAGUUUUGCAGCCCACAUCACAGACAAAACUCAGUUCUUCUUCUUAAUGUAUCAAAAGUGCCUAGAAAUUUAAAAGCAAAAGACCAAAAGUCCAAUAGAAAACUGAAUGAAAUAUAUAGAAAAAGACAUUAAGAAAAAAAAAGAUCAGAGUUCCCUUGUGGUACAGUGGAUUAAGGAUCUACAUUAUCCUUGCAGCAGUUUGGGCUACCAUUGCACAAGUUCAAUCCCUGGCCUAGGAACUUCCACAUGCCAUGGGCACAGCCAAAAAA